GCCUAGGUAGCUCAGUGGUAGAGCAACUGCAUGGUAAGUAGUAGGUCGGGAGUUCAAUCCUCCCCCUAGGCU
rnacentral:tRNA from 1 species